GCAUCGGCGGUGGUGUGGCUCUGUUGCAGUUUUCUUCAUGGCUGUUGGUUGAUUCGACUCGAACAUAUUAAAAUUAAGGAACACAAUCUGCUGGAAGAACUCAGAGGGUUGAGCCACAUUGGAGAUCACUCACACCAACUUAAGAGAAAG